GUGGGGAAUAUUCCGCAAUGGACGAAAGUCUGACGGAGCAACGCCGCGUGAGUGAUGAAGGUUUUCGGACUGUAAAGCUCUGUUGUUUAGGACGAAAGUGCCUGUUGCAAAUAGUUACAGGUAUUGACGGUACUGAACGAGGAAGCCACGGCUAACUACGUGCCAGCAGCCGCGGUAAUACGUAGGUGGCAAGCGUUGUCCGGAAUUAUUGGGCGUAAAGAGCAUGUAGGCGGGAAUCUAAGUCUGUUGUGAAAAUGCGGGGCUCAACCCCGUAUUGCGAUGGAAACUGGGUUUCUUGAGUGAAGGAGAGGAAAGGGGAAUUCCCAGUGUAGCGGUGAAAUGCGUAGAUAUUGGGAGGAACACCAGUGGCGAAGGCGCCUUUCUGGACUGUGUCUGACGCUGAGAUGCGAAAGCCAGGGUAGCGAACGGGAUUAGAUACCCCGGUAGUCC
rnacentral:rRNA from 1 species